rnacentral:rRNA from 1 species
CCAAUAGCGUAUAUUAAAGUUGUUGCAGUUAAAAAGCUCGUAGUUGAAUUUCGGGGUUAGUAGGUUGGUAAUGCCUCUGGUAUGUACUGGUCUCACUGCUUCCUCCUUCCUUAUGAACCGUAAUGCCAUUAAUUUGGUGUUGCGGGGAAUUUGGACUGUUACUUUGAAAAAAUUAGAGUGUUUAAAGCAAGCUAACGAUUGAAUACAUUAGCAUGGAAUAAUGAAAUAGGACGUUCGAUCUUAUUUUGUUGGUUUCUAGGAUUGACGUAAUGAUUAAUAGGGAUAGUUGGGGGCAUUAGUAUUCAAUUGUCAGAGGUGAAAUUCUUGGAUUUAUUGAAGACUAACUACUGCGAAAGCAUUUGCCAAGGAUGUUUUCAUUAAUCAAGAACGAAAGUUAGGGGAUCGAAGACGAUCAGAUACCGUCGUAGUCUUAACCAUAAACUAUGCCGACUAGGGAUCGGAUGAUGUUAAUUUUUUAAUGACUCAUUCGGCGCCUUACG